rnacentral:rRNA from 1 species
AUACGUAGGGAGCGAGCGUUGUCCGGAAUUACUGGGCGUAAAGGGCGCGUAGGCGGCGCUUCAAGUCGUCUGUCAAAUGGGAGGGCUUAACCCUUUUUCGCAGACGAAACUGGAGAGCUUGAGAAGCAGAGAGGCAAACAGAAUUCCUGGUGUAGCGGUGAAAUGCGUAGAUAUCAGGAAGAAUACCAGUGGCGAAGGCGGUUUGCUGGCUGCAUACUGACGCUGAAGCGCGAAAGCCAGGGGAGCAAACGGGAUUAGAUACCCCGGUAGUCCUGGCAGUAAACGAUGUAUGCUGGGUGUGAGACUAGCGAUAGUUUCGUGCCGAAGUUAACGCGAUAAGUAUUCCGCCUGGGGAGUACGGUCGCAAGAUUGAAACUUAAAGGAAUUGGCGGGG